UACGUAGGGUGCGAGCGUUAAUCGGAAUUACUGGGCGUAAAGCGCGCGUAGGUGGUUCGUUAAGUUAGGAGUGAAAGCCCCGGGCUCAACCUGGGAAUUGCUUCUAAAACUGGCGAGCUAGAGUAUGGUAGAGGGUGGUGGAAUUUCCUGUGUAGCGGUGAAAUGCGUAGAUAUAGGAAGGAACAUCAGUGGCGAAGGCGACCACCUGGACUGAUACUGACACUGAGGUGCGAAAGCGUGGGGAGCAAACAGGAUUAGAUACCCCGGUAGUCCCUGA
rnacentral:rRNA from 1 species